UGCAUUUCACUGUUUGUCAUCCCAGAGGAGAGAAGAACAAACACCUUAUUAGUGACAUUUUAUGUUUUUAAAGUAGCUAAUCAAGGAGUUCUGAAGAGCAACCAAUGGAGGUAGACACGGUUCAGCGGCAAUAACGUUUGACCCUUUGCCUUACAAUCUAUCAUCACCAGGAUGCAUAAACGUCCAACUCUGCAUACCUUGAAGGCCCAGGAAGGUACCGAAUCAAGCUUCACAUGGGAGGUGCGAGCAAACAACCGUC